rnacentral:rRNA from 1 species
ACUGUAGUCUGCAACCCGACUACACGAAGCUGGAAUCGCUAGUAAUCGCGAAUCAGAAUGUCGCGGUGAAUACGUUCCCGGGUCUUGUACACACCGCCCGUCACACCAUGGGAGUCGGGAAUGCCCGAAGUCAGUGACCCAACCUAUAGGAGGGAGCUGCCGAAGGCAGGUCUGAUAACUGGGGUGAAGUCGUAACAAGGUACC